CACGUUGAUAGGUUACAGGUGUAACGGUGGUAACAUCAUAGCCGAGUAAUACUAAUAACCCGUAGACUUUUCG
rnacentral:rRNA from 1 species